rnacentral:lncRNA from 1 species
GAAAACCCAUUAAAGGUUAGUGAAACAUUUUACCUCAAAAUAUACAAUAUAUAAUGGAAAUACAAAAUUUCAUUUCAGAAAACUUGUUUACCAGACGCCUUUCGGAAAACAUUUAGGAUACAUAUUUUUACGAUGCUUAACCAAAAAAAUGUCCAUAAACUACAUGUAUGUAUGAGUGGGCAUGUAGAUAUAGAUCGAGUCAGGAACAUACAAUGACCAAGAGUAUAUAGAGAAUAAAGAUAAUAGGCGACCAUAAAUUAAAGAAUAGAGAAUAAUGAGGUUCUAAAAUAUAAAGAAUAGAAUAUAUAUAUAUAUAUAUACCUAGGAAGUUUGUUGUCUGAGACAAGUGCCUGUGAAAAUAAAUGGGGAAAUUCAUCUAGAAUACUGAUUUUUUAAAAUACACGUAGAACUGAUGACGUCCCCACUAGCUAUAGACCCUUAUAUAUUCUAGUGAUUUAUGGUUUAAAUUAUUUUUGCAAUUUCAAGGACGAGCACUUAAGUACAGCUGACUUGUCUUAUGCAAUGUAAAACGUUGCAUAGAAAGGCCAUAACAGAAUAUAAACCGAUUAUUUUUCUAAAUUGACAAAUCUAAUACCUUCUCAUUAAGAAUGUCUGGACUAACCAUUAUCACGGCUUGAACAUCUCAGCAAGGCCUUAAAAUUUUCACAAUUUGGCGAUAAAUCAUCCAUUUUUAAUUAGACAUUGACAUAUAUCUAAUUGGUUGAAAUCUAUCUAAUUGAAGUUUAAAUAUAGACGUAGCUUCCAGUUCUAAAAUGUCAUUUAAAAUAACAUUUUCCGAACAGACUGUAUCAAAAUUAAAAUUAAAAACCGGAAAAGAAAUGAAAUGAAAAGAAAGCAUGUAAUGUUAUGGCUUAUAAAUGUUUUCUUGUAUACAUGUAACCAUUGAUCAUUCGGUGAAAUGCAACAUUCAGACAUAUGCGAGAUUUGACUUUGAUAUAACUUUUAAAUUACGCACCAACACAAAUCAAAAAGAUGGGGGAGUAAAUGCAAAUAUUACACAAUCUGAAAAAGAGAACAAAAUGCCAACAACAUACAAUAAUUAUAAUAAAUUGGGGAUUUGUCAAAGAGACAACAAGUUACUCUGACUAAAGAACAGAAAACAGCCGAAGGUCAUUAAUGGGUCUUCAAUAUAGCGAAUUAAGAUGCCUACUUCAUCAGGCCCCUAAACAAAAGUAUGUACUAUUUCAGUGACUUCAUACUAAACUCCGAAAUAUAAUACUAAAGAAACUAAAUUCAAAAAUCAUACCAGACUAAUAAAAGCCAAAGGCUCCUGCAACAAUUAAAGACGGGAGUAUGUACAUAAUGUCAAGACAUACCAUUCUCCGAAUGAAAAGGUAAUCAGAUGAUAUUUCCCCUUUCAACCAUACUGUCGAUUUGUUGUACCUUUAGACAGGUACAAAGCAUAACGCAGGACUUUACAAUUUUUAUUGAAAAAAAUCUUUUAAAAAUCAUUUAAUAAAAAAAAAAAAGAUAUUUCGAUAGAAAAUCAAUUAAGACUGUCAUGGAAUAUUGUAAAUUUUCGAUUUGACCUGGGACCAAUAUAUUAAUGUAUAAGUGCCAGACACAUGUAAGGAAAUGAAAAAAAUAAACAUAUUAAUUUCCGUCUGUAUAUGAUUUUUCUAAUCUGGAACAAAAUUUGUAUAAUUCUUUUGUCAUUUGCACUAAAAAACUAAUAUGAAUACGAAAGUUUAUUUUGAUUCGGUUCACAUAUACAAUACACUCAUAAGCUAUUGAGAGUUUUUAAUAUGGAACGCCAUGACUGUCUUCUGAUGUUGAUUGUCAAAUUUGUUACAAACUAUAAAAUAACAUAUGGACAAGAUAUAAAUAAUUAAGCAGCAUUUUGUUUUGCAUAGAAACAGCACUGGCAUAUUCAAAUACAUGCAAAGCAUUUCUUAAAUACAUAUCUAAACAUGCAAAAUUAAUACUAGUAUGUCUGUACUCGACCUCGAAGAGGACACUCAUCAUAAUACAUAUAUGCACAAUUACAACUGAAAUAAGAAGAUGUACGUGGUAUUAGUGCUAAUGAGAGACAACUCUCCACCCAUGUCACAGAGUGUAAAAAGUAAACAAUUAUAGGUCAAAUUACCGCCCUUUAACACGAAGCCUUUGCUCACGCCGAACAGCAAGCUAUAAAGGGACACAAAACGACUAAUGAAAAAACAAAUCAAACUGGAAAAUCAAUGGUUUUAUCUACUUUAAAAAAGAGAAACAAUAAACCACUUUUGAACCACAUUCUGUGUCAUUUGGUCUCUUGUGAAGAGUUGUCUCAUUGACAAUCACAACACAUCAUCAUUUAUAUAUAUAUCACCUGAGCACGCACAAGCUGAUCUCAAAAACCUUACCAUCACAAUCAUAGACCACAACGAGGGUUGGUCGAAGGUCGACAGAGUAGCUCGGGAAAGAUUUUGGAUAAGACAGUUAAGGACAGUUUCCCCAAAGGGCAUAAAUGAAAAAAAAAACAUAGAAUGAGUCACUCAUUUUCCUGUCAUCACUUGUUUCCAGUAACUCUGGCUCCGUACUGGCUUUACAGGUCGAAGAUUUUUUUUUUACAAUACCAGUUUAAAUUACAAGGCUCCAUUUAUUUGGGAUGGAUGUAUAAGUACGUAGCCACGUUCAAUUAUUUUACCUUAUUAGAUAAAACUAAUUUUUCUAAUCAUUAUUAAACUGCUAUUCGUUUGGGAGGCUUAAAUAUGUAGUUUCUGUUGCAAUUGCCCUACCGUUGUCAAAUCUGAAAUAUUAUACCAACUUGGAUCGGUUAGGGCAUUUUUGAUUGUUUUGUUUGAGGACUGCCCUCCAUGCAGUUAUAAACUGUCAAAACCUUUGGAAAUUUAGAGUUGUGCCAGUUCACAUCGCAAAUAACUAUUUUUAUUUGGCAUAUCUUUGUAAUCUUUGCGCCUUGUUUGGAAAUUUUAAAAUUGUACUAGCGUCUGUGGUGUUCGCCUAAAUUGUAUACAUUUCAAGAUUUUGAUAGUUUCCAGUUUGAAUAUAUUGACUUGAUUCAUAUGACAUCGUUCUAUUAUUGAAGAAGGAUAUCUGUUAUCCGAAAUAUCUAAUAUUUGUUCAUUUUAUAGUUAUUUAAUGGUGAUGUUGUACCCUUUUUGACUUGUUAUAUAUAUAUAUAAUUUAUGUAUAUAUAGAUAUAUAUAUAAUCUUUUCCAAAGUUGACGCAGAGAAAGUCUAGGAAAAAUAGAUAAGAAAGAAUGUAAUCACAGCCUGAACAUCGAGUUUUUGCUUGGUGUUAUUUUAGACUUUAAUAAUUAUUGAUACGAUAAGUACAAAAUCAGACGUUGUAUUAUGGUGAAACAAUCAAAUUCAAAUUUAUUUCUAUUUCUUAGCUUUCUUAUAUGUCAAUUGUAUAUUUGGAUGCAUCGUUUUCCAAUUUGUAAUUAUGUUUAAAAUUUAAUUGUUAUCCAACUGCACAGUAAAGUUAAAAAUUCAAAUAUCUUUCUUCAUUUUAAAACAGAUUAUAAUUUAUGGACAGACUAAAUUUGUUUUCUGUCUUUGUGAGAACAGAAUACAUUCUAUAAAAACUACCUAUUAGAAAACAUAAAAAAAAAUCAUAGUUUCCGUAUUUUGUUACACACAUUCACUGUGAUAAAUUCAUAAAAUCCCGCUAAAAAAGUAAACAAAUGUAGGCGUACCGGAACUAAAAAUCUUGAAGUAAACAAUGUUUUUUUUUAUGAAAGCAAUUUUAUGAAGUAAGUAUUUUAAUACAUUACUAUUUAGAGAGUAUAUUAGUUAUACAGUCAUGCACUUAAAAAACAGACAUGCAUAAUUUCUAUCAAUGUUGUGGUUAUUAUAUUAAAUCAAAAUAGGUUAGAAUUAAAUAUGUUAAAGGUCAACGUGCUUCAUUAUUGACUGAAUAAACAUAGAUAAUUUCUAUAAAUAAUUAUACACUGUUAAAUAUUCCACAAUUUCAAUGUACUUUCUGUAUUUUGGUAAACUAUACUUGAUUAUUUGUCCAGUCGCUCUUUUAUAACCAGCCUUUGUAUGCCGAUGACGUCACAGGAGGGGGCAUUUAGUGUUAUACCCUUGCCCUUUCCGUCUGUCUGUCUGUACGUCCGUCCGCACGCACGCACUAACGUCCGUACAUUCUUAUAUUGGUUUCUAUUCUGUAACUUUAGUUUGCCUCAACCAAAUGUAAUGCCACUUAUACAAAAUGCUAAUUACCACAUCAUACAGACCUAGUUAGAAUUUGGGUGUCGUUACUUUUGCCGUUUUAUGACCAUUUAUAAAGUUAUAUAUAAUUAUGCAAGCGGGGGCAUCAUCUCCAUUUAUGUAUAACCAGUUUAGUACUGCAAUCCCAUUCUUGAUUUAGAAAAAAAAUAUAUUCAAAGAAUAUUUAAAGUAGAGCGUGAUUGUUCUUCAAUAGUAACAACUGCGUCACCGGGGAUCGACGCAGGGACCACUACGACGUUACAAUGUAAUCUACUACUCUACCAACCCAAACCUUAGGAGAGGUGUUGCUGAUGGAGGUUGGACACAUAUCUAUUAGUUCAACUGAAGCACCUCAGUACAACACCAACUUACUAGUAUUCUGAUUUCAUUUGAAUGUAUAAAUGGUAAUUUUCGACAUUAAGCACUCACUAAACUCAGUUUUUCGUUUGAAGUACCAAUAGUAGAUAAGUAGUUUUCUUCCAAACUUGAUCACUUAACACCUUAAAUAGAAGAUGGAACCCCUAACAUGGCAUUGUAGUUAACCAAAUGUCUUUCACUGAACUAUAAUUCACAGGCGGAGCUUAUGGAGUAAAAUGACUCAUACACCGAUCUUGUUGUUUUUUCUACAAGCACAACCACUUUCUAUCAUGCGAUUUUGCAUACUUAGUUUGACAACGUUUUAUACGGAAUAGUCACAGACAUUGAGUCAUGAAUUCAUUUGAUAUCGAUCUUGGUUUACAUAAAGUAAGAAGAGUAAAGGUACUGCUUAUAUAAAACUUUUAGGAUUGAGCUAGUAAUGAUAAAAACAAGGAUGAAACAAUAUAGAAAUAUUGUAUUGCAAAAUAUCUGUCACUUAAAAAGUUAUCCGUAAAUGAUUCCCAUAUUAUCGCUUGUCGAAAAGUUAUUUUGCAAUGCAAAAAUUAACAAGAAAAACCGUUGCAGAACUGAUUCAAAUAGUGACUUCAAAUUAAGAUGUUCAUCGUUUUAAGUAGACUCUACUUGUCUCUGGUGUGGAGUGUGUAAUGUGUUUUCUAAAUGUCGGCAAUUUUCUUAAAAAAGAGAUAUAAAAUUGAGAAUGGAAAUGGAGAAUAUGUCAAAGAGACAACAACCCGACCAAAGAACUGUUACAGACAACAGCCGAAGGCCACCAAUGGGUCUUCAACGCAGCAAGAAAAUACCGCACCUGAAGGUGGGCCUCAGCUGGCUCCUAAAUAAAAUUGUGUACUAGUUCAGUGAAAUGCACGUCAACUUGACUAAACUCCAAAACAUAUAAAUGAACUAAAAUUAAAAAAAACAUACAAGACUAACAAAAGCCAGAGGCUCCUGACUUGGGACAGACGCAAAAAUGCGGAGGGGUUAAACAUGUUAAAACAAAAACAUUUGUUUACACAUGGUUGAGGACUGGCAAUCAAAAAGAAUCCCUAUCUUUUAUUAUACCAAGGAUUUUCUCUAUAAUAAACAGCUUUUAAAUAUAAUUCCAGACAUGAUGAAUGUGCGCAGAAUUCUUCAGCCAAGUUCAAAGUUUAUAAAGGGCUUUACAGUACAGUGCUAUUCAUGUCGUACUUCCACAACCAUUGCAGAUGCCAGAAAUGAACCACCGCUAUCUGCGGAUGUUAAACCAUUCAAUCAAGUCCCUGGGCCUCGAGGACUUUAUAACAUACCUUACCUUGGCGCGGCAUUUCAUUUUAAACCUUUUAGUAA